rnacentral:lncRNA from 1 species
UGCGCGCCUGCCCAUGGUGAUAACUGGGCGGCACGCACUAUACCGCUGCGAAGGCUUGCCGCUGUUCGGGUUUCAUUUGACGAGCACUCUACCAAGUGCAUGUAUGUAA